rnacentral:misc_RNA from 1 species
GUAGGUGAACCUGCGGAAGGAUCAUUAUCGUAGGGACCCGUCCCUAUUGAGAUAGCACCCUUUGUUUAUGAGAACCGUUCGUUUCCUCGGCGGGCUCGCCCGCCGCCAGGGACCUACAAAAACCUUAGCAGUACCCUCGGUACAAAACAUAUUAAAACUUUCAACAACGGAUCUCUUGGUUCUG